UACGUAGGUGGCGAGCGUUGUCCGGAUUUAUUGGGCGUAAAGGGCGCGCAGGUGGUGCGGUAAGACUGCCGUGAAAUCUCCCGGCUCAACUGGGAGGGUGCGGUGGAGACUGCCGGACUAGAGGCACUCAGAGGCCGGUGGAAUUCCCGGUGUAGUGGUGAAAUGCGUAGAGAUCGGGAGGAACACCAGUGGCGAAGGCGGCCGGCUGGGGGUGACCUGACGCUGAGGCGCGAAAGCGUGGGGAGCGAACCGG
rnacentral:rRNA from 1 species